AUUCAAAGAAACUAAUUUCUCCUUCAAUUGGAACUUGGAAUGAAAUUAUAAACUUGUUUUCAUAUCAGUCUGUUGCUAUGGAAGUUACUGAUGUCACACUGUAAGUAUUAUGACUAUCAUAAUGUCUAAAUAGGCAGAAGACCUGGUUGCUAAUAGAAAUCCAAGGCAAAAGUCACAUAGCUUUGGGGACUUUUAGGCUUUAUGAACGGGUUUUUGUUAAAUGGGUAGAGAUUUUAGUUCUCUGAUGAAAGGAUUAUCUGAAUAAAACUGAUUGAACCUGAGGCCGAGGAGUUUGGAACACUGGAUCAUGACUUGUAUAAAUCUAUAUAAAUCAAUUUCUGUGCCAGGGAAUGAAUAGCCAACUUCAUUCAAAUGCCAAUUCAGCAAUUACAAAGUCUGCUGGCAGUUAAUUAAAAACUACCAUCUCAUUAUAUUCAGAGGUUCAAUGGCUAAAGAAGAAGAUGAAAUUCCCAUUAGCAUGGAGGAUAUUAAAAAUCUGACAGACAGUGAAUUGCAGGAACAGCUUAUGAACCAUGGAUAUAAUUCGGGGACAAUAAUACCUUCCACCAGACGGGUUUAUGAGGAUAAACUGCUACAGUUAUUGACCACUUCAAACCCAUCCACAGAGCGUAAGGUUAAGAAGAAAACUAAAGAGCCACCUCAGCAUCUGGAAGGAGAGGAAGAGGAAGAGGAUGUUGAUGUCGUUUUGGAAAAAAAGAUCAAAAUCUCACCAAGAAAAACUAAACGACCCAAAAAAGAGAAGUCUUCAGUUCAAAAAUCAACAAAACGAAUGAAUUAUGAAAUAGAAGAGAGUAACAAUCUUGUACCUCUUCAUAAAAAGUUAUCUUCAGUUCAUUCUGUGGAUGGUGAUAUUGACAUCUAUUAUCCUGAUCCCAGCACUCACAGAGGAAUAAGUUAAUCCUAGAGUGACUGAAAGCUGCCUGCUUUUUGCCUCCUGAUUCAGGGAGAGGGAAGAAUCUGAGCCAGCCACGUGAUGAUUAUCUAAAAAGUGGCUUCUGGAGAGUACAAAUGAACCAUGUGGGAAUUUGUAUUAAGGGCAUCGAGGCUGGCUGUCCUGUGAUUUUGAAUGCGUCUGCUCUUUUCAUUUGCAUAUCUGAUGAUAAUCCUUUAUUGAUCUCUCUGCCUCUGCUCCUCCUUUCCCACUUGUGUUAUUCCUCUAUGAUGUCAGACCUUAUUUUUUCUUUAGAACUCUAAUUCGAUGACUUCUAAUUGAAUGCUCUAGCUGGCUAAUGGCUCUUAUUCAACUGCAAGAUUGACAUUUACUUAUUUGAUUCCCACCUCUCUAUCCCCUCUCUGGCCUUCUUUGUGAAGAGAGCUUAAAUUAGGCAGGAUCUCACAUCCAGUACCUUUUUUUGUAUUUUAGCUUCAGCCUCUCCCUCCUUUUUUUUUUUUUGCCAAAUUGUGAAGGGCCUUGGAAAUAUGCCCUUGACUGAUAAGUCCCGACCCCUGCAGAUGAGCACAGCUCUGCUGCUUGUCUGCUUCCCAGGAUCCCAGCUGACUCUGAGCUAUCUUUCUUUGUUUGGUUUUUAACCUGGACCUGAGUCUGUUGGUAUUAGAUGGAAAAAAAAAAACUUUAUUCUUGUCAGAAAAUAUCACUGCCAAAAUAUUUAUUGUUACCUCUUAUAUCUGAGAAGGUUCUAGGUUAAAUAUUGAACCCGCCUGUUUCUAAGGAAUUGCGGGUAUAAUUUUAAUGUUGUACUAUGACAUUAUCUUUAAUGACAAUCUUAGUUCUCUCAAAAAAUAACUUUUUCAUCAUAUUCCCAUCCUUCCUAUCCCCAAAUACAGAUAUGCCUCUUUUCAGUAAAUAAUGGAUAGCAGGGUUAAAACUUCAUUCCUUCGUUCUGACUUUAUCUCAGCAUUUACACCUUUAACAAGGCUUGUAAAACAACAACAAAAAAAAAUUGUCCCUUUAUAUCGUGUAACUUAAAAUAUGAGCCAAACAUGUGUAACCAAUAUCAGAUUGCUUACUGUGUUGGAGUGGGAGGUAGGGAAGAAGAGAGAGGAUAGAAUUUGGAACUCAAAACUUUAAAACAAAAUGUUAAAAAUUGUUUUAACGUGUAAUUGGGGGAAAUAAAAUGUUAUUUUAAAAAUAAAAUAAAAUGUAA
ensembl:lncRNA